UAUAAGGUUUAUUGCUAGGUACUUUAUGAACACAAAAUUGCCUAAUGGAUGUACAAAACAUUCUUUUUUUUUUAAUAUAAUUGAAGUAAAUACAAGUUUUUCUCUCAUAAGACAUAUUACACUUUUUAAAUAUUCUGGGUAUUGCUAAAUUCCUUCUAUGAUCUAAGCUACAUGGUUGGAUUAUAAUAUAUAAGUAUAUAUCAAUUUUUAAAUUCUAUAAUAAGCAAUAACAUUUUUUGUUCCCAUGCCUUUAAGUUUAUAAUCCAUCAAUACACUUAAUGAUAAACCAGCCCCACGCUUCGCUCAAGGUCAGCCAAUAAAAAUGGUUGUUUAAAAGUACUUUGUAAUGUAGGGUGGAAACGAAUUAUGUUCUAGUUCUUAUCAGGUGUUAGUUUCGAAUGGUUUAUGUUGGUGUAUUGAAUUGAAAAUCGAAACGAGACUUUCUGAAGUUUUCAUUCAUAAUACAUCUUUUUACUACACACUUCAAAAUGUCUAUGUAUUAUUACAGAAUAAUCCUAUAUUACUGUCCUGACAAAUAAAAUUACAGUAUGAAUAUAGAGUUGAAAUUAAUUAAAACCUAAUAAAAAUUGUAAUAUUAGGAAAGUUGCAAGUUUGAAGCCUGUUAUAAAACUUUGUCCUUCAGUAACAAUGUAAUGAAAAUCAUGUUACAGAACAAAUUUGUUUACAUCGAAUUUGACUGGUUUGUUUGCUGUAUUCAGAGUUUAGGUCGAUGAGACAAAAUUACACAUGAUUUAACAUUUGAAAAAUGUGAUUAUGUUAUUAAUAAUGUUUGAAAAGUAUAUUAAUAAAUAACAAUAAACAACAAACACUGAAUUCAACAAAAUGUUUGAUUUAUUGAAUAUACAGUUCACAUUUACGAGUGGAUUGAUACUUGACUAAUGAAGGAAUUAGCUGAAUUUUAAAACAUAUUUUUAGCACAGAAAGAUAAAACACAGAAGUCUCACUUUCAAAACUGUUUGCAACACGAUCCAACGGCCAGUUCUAGUAACUAACCUCGGUGAGACAUCUAACACCUGUUUUGACAGUAUAUGCUUCAGUUUCAGUUUCAAACCUGCACUCAAAAUUUACUGUCAUAAUUUAGUAAUAUGAUU